rnacentral:rRNA from 1 species
GACGAACGCUGGCGGCGUGCUUAACACAUGCAAGUCGAACGGAAAGGCCCUGCUUUUGUGGGGUGCUCGAGUGGCGAACGGGUGAGUAACACGUGAGUAACCUGCCCUUGACUUUGGGAUAACUUCAGGAAACUGGGGCUAAUACCGGAUAGGAGCUCCUGCUGCAUGGUGGGGGUUGGAAAGUUUCGGCGGUUGGGGAUGGACUCGCGGCUUAUCAGCUUGUUGGUGGGGUAGUGGCUUACCAAGGCUUUGACGGGUAGCCGGCCUGAGAGGGUGACCGGCCACAUUGGGACUGAGAUACGGCCCAGACUCCUACGGGAGGCAGCAGUGGGGAAUAUUGCACAAUGGGCGGAAGCCUGAUGCAGCAACGCCGCGUGCGGGAUGACGGCCUUCGGGUUGUAAACCGCUUUCGCCUGUGACGAAGCGUGAGUGACGGUAAUGGGUAAAGAAGCACCGGCGAACUACGUGC